rnacentral:rRNA from 1 species
CAUGUUUUUCUUAUCAAAGCUCCGGCGGUACAGGAUGGACCCGCGUCUGAUUAGCUAGUUGGUGAGGUAACGGCUCACCAAGGCGACGAUCAGUAGCCGACCUGAGAGGGUGAUCGGCCACAUUGGAACUGAGACACGGUCCAAACUCCUACGGGAGGCAGCAGUGGGGAAUAUUGCACAAUGGGCGAAAGCCUGAUGCAGCAACGCCGCGUGAGCGAUGAAGGCCUUCGGGUCGUAAAGCUCUGUCCUCAAGGAAGAUAAUGACGGUACUUGAGGAGGAAGCCCCGGCUAACUACGUGCCAGCAGCCGCGGUAAUACGUAGGGGGCUAGCGUUAUCCGGAUUUACUGGGCGUAAAGGGUGCGUAGGCGGUCUUUUAAGUCAGGAGUGAAAGGCUACGGCUCAACCGUAGUAAGCUCUUGAAACUGGAGGACUUGAGUGCAGGAGAGGAGAGUGGAAUUCCUAGUGUAGCGGUGAAAUGCGUAGAUAUUAGGAGGAACACCAGUAGCGAAGGCGGCUCUCUGGACUGUAACUGACGCUGAGGCACGAAAGCGUGGGGAGCAAACAGGAUUAGAUACCCUGGUAGUCCACGCCGUAAACGAUGAGUACUAGCUGUCGGAGGUUACCCCCUUCGGUGGCGCAG